rnacentral:rRNA from 1 species
CCUACGGGUGACAGCAGUGAGGAAUAUUGGUCAAUGGGCGCGAGCCUGAACCAGCCAAGUCGCGUGAGGGAAGACGGCCCUACGGGUUGUAAACCUCUUUUGCCGGGGAUUAACGGGCGCCACGUGUGGCGCCACUGAGAGUACCCGGAGAAAAAGCCUCGGCUAACUCCGUGCCAGCAGCCGCGGUAAUACGGAGGAUGCGAGCGUUAUCUGGAUUUAUUGGGUUUAAAGGGUGCGUAGGCGGAGCGUUAAGUCAGUGGUCAAAUUGAGGGGCUCAACCCCUUCCCGCCAUUGAAACUGGCGCUCUUGAGUGGAAGAGAAGUAUGCGGAAUGCGUGGUGUAGCGGUCAAAUGCAUAGAUAUCACGCAGAACUCCGAUUGCGAAGGCAGCAUACCGGCGCCCGACUGACGCUGAGGCACGAAAGCGUGGGGAUCGAACAGGAUUAGAGACCCGAGUAGUC